rnacentral:rRNA from 1 species
UACGUAGGCAGCGAGCGUUGUUCGGAGUUACUGGGCGUAAAGGGCUCGUAGGCGGCCAACUAAGUCGGACGUGAAAUCCCUCGGCUUAACCGGGGAACUGCGUCCGAUACUGGAUGGCUCGAGUUUGGGAGAGGGAUGCGGAAUUCCAGGUGUAGCGGUGAGAUGCGUAGAUAUCUGGAGGAACACCGGUGGCGAAGGCGGCAUUCUGGACCGAUAUUGACGCUGAGGAGCGAAAGCCAGGGGAGCAAACGGG